CGGGCCUGACAGGGAACCUCCCUGACCGAGCCCACGUCUCCCCACGGCCAGAGAAAUCUCCGGCCCGGCCCGCAUCGCCAGCCCCCAGGCCCGGAGGAACGGCCCGAGCCCAGGAGAACCACAUCUUCGUCCCAGCCCCGGAGGCUCCUGUGGGCAAGAUCGUGAGCCAACGGGUUCCUGAGGCCCCUCCUGGCCAGGCAGGGUUUCCCCGCGCGUUUCCGAGGAGCCCUGCCUGGCCGGGCGGCUGGACAAACAGGUCGUAGCACCGAUCGCGCCCGCCCCCAGCAGGGGUCCCGCACAGGCUUGCCCCUGACCCCCACCCAAACCUGUCCUUCCGCUUUGCCCCCAAACAGUGCACUUGCCGGCGGUCCCAACCCAGCAGGAGAAGUGGACAUGAGGUUGGCAGGCCCUCUCCGCAUUGUGGUCCUAGUCGUCAGUGUGGGUGUCACAUGGAUCGUGGUCAGCAUCCUCCUGGGUGGGCCUGGCAGUGGCUUUCCUCGCAUCCAGCAACUCUUCACCAGUCCAGAGAGCUCGGUGACUGCAGUAACAGAAAAUCCUUCUGUCUUGGGUCCCUGUGGCCUCACCAG
rnacentral:lncRNA from 1 species